rnacentral:rRNA from 1 species
UACAGAGGUCUCAAGCGUUGUUCGGAUUCAUUGGGCGUAAAGGGUGCGUAGGCGGCGCGGUAAGUCGGGUGUGAAAUCUCGGAGCUUAACUCCGAAACUGCAUUCGAUACUGCCGUGCUUGAGGACUGGAGAGGAGACUGGAAUUUACGGUGUAGCGGUGAAAUGCGUAGAUAUCGUAAGGAAGACCAGUGGCGAAGGCGGGUCUCUGGACAGUUCCUGACGCUGAGGCACGAAGGCCAGGGAGGCAAACGGG